rnacentral:rRNA from 1 species
UUGACGGGGAGCACUACAACGGGUGGAGCCUGCGGUUUAAUUGGACUCAACGCCGGAAAACUCACCGGGGGCGACAGCAAUAUGUAGGUCAAGCUAAAGACUUUACCAGAAUCGCUGAGAGGAGGUGCAUGGCCGUCGUCAGUUCGUACUGUGAAGCAUCCUGUUAAGUCAGGCAACGAGCGAGACCCGUGCCCACUGUUGCCAGCAUGUCCUUCGGGAUGAUGGGUACUCUGUGGGACCGCCGAUGCUAAAUCGGAGGAAGGUGCGGGCUACGGUAGGUCAGUAUGCCCCGAAUCUCCCGGGCUACACGCGGGCUACAAUGACUGGGACAAUGGGCUCCUACCCCGAAAGGGGAUGGUAAUCUCAUAAACCCAGCCUUAGUUCGGAUCGAGGGCUGUAACCCGCCCUCGUGAAGCUGGAAUCCGUAGUAAUCGCGUUUCAACAUAGCGCGGUGAAUACGUCCCUGCUCCUU